rnacentral:lncRNA from 1 species
UUACUUAUUUUUGUUAUUUUAAUUUUCUAUUUUUCCAUUUAUAAAUAGAUAAAUAUUCCACAAACAAUUUCUUAAAGAGGAAUAAUUAGAAAUCAACUUAUGUGUGCUGCUGGGGUGUGUAUAAUGCAGCUACAAGUUGGGAUCCUCUUUGUUCUGAAGUUGAAGUCUCUUGCUAGAAGUGUCCAGGUACAGGAAGACAGUAGCAGUGAGGACCCAGGUCACCACACGUUCUUGGUAUUAUUACCUCUCAAAUCUCAACAGAGAAUGACAGAUGUCAUAUUGUCCUUGCACUUUUUUUUACUUCAUUGAUUGAAUGUAUUAAAUUAGGUCAUCACAUUCAUAAAGAUGAAAUCAAUCAUAUUUGUUGAGAUAACUAAACUAUUGGCUUCAUACCCUGGAUUAUCAUCUUUAUUUUAUUUUAGUAAUAAGAAACUGGGGCUCAGAAAGUUUAGGUAACACAGUAGGAAAUGAUGAAACUGAAACAAGCAAUCAUGUCUAUUUGAUUGCUUUUUUCCUGUAAAGACAGUCAUUAAUGCUCUUCACCAAAUGUUUUCAUUUCUUCUGACACAUGCCAAGAUCGCACUUCCCCAUCCUUUUGAAGUUACUUGCAGCCAUGAUAAUUGCCCUGGCCCAAUGCAAUGUGAACAGGUAAAAGACAUAUUUUACUUCUGGGCCAAAGCUUCAAGAACCAGUGCAUAUUUUGUUGUCUUCUCUCUCUCUAAUGCAGGUAACAGAAGUCCCAUGAGCCUGGGUCCCACAAAGAGACAUGGAGUGUAGCAUCCAGCAAUGUCGUUAUAAACUUGUAGUGGGAAUUAACAAUACACAUUUGUUGUUAUAAACUAAGAUUUGGUUAUAAACCACUAAGCAUAACCUAGCCACUGCUGACUGAUUAAUUCAUAAAGUGGCUAUAUCACUUUGU